GUUUUACUUGUUGGAACUCUGAUAGUUUAUAUGCUAUCAAAAGAUGAUAAUUACUGAAUAUAUCUGGCUUAGUUGGAAUUUAAUUGAGCUUGUUUUAUCUUUUGUUUUGUUUCCCUGCUAAAGUUAAAUGAUUGCUUAUAAUGGAGUCUAUUUUUAAGUGGAAAGAGGCAUUUUGCUGGUGACUCUGUUCUAUUUAUCAGGGAUGAAAAGCAACAUCUACUUCUCUGUAUUAGACGAGCUUACAGGCAACCUACGAACCUAUCAUCAUCUGUAUUGUCAAGUGACAGUAUGCAUAUUGGAAUUCUGGCAACUGCCGCUCACGUUGCAGCCAACAAUAGUCCCUUCACUGUGUUCUACAAUCCUAGCGCUAGUCCAUCAGAAUUUGUUAUUCCUUUAGCCAAGUACUACAAGAUAGUGUGUGGAAACCAAAUAUCACUAGGCAUGCAUUUUCAUAUGAUGUUUGAAAUCGAAGAGUCUGGAACAAGAAGGU